UAGAGAAUAUUUCGCAAUGGGGGAAACCCUGACGAAGCGAUACCGCGUGAAUGAUGAAGGUCGAAAGAUUGUAAAAUUCUUUUCUGAGGGAAUAAUUCUGAAGGUACCUUAGGAAUAAGCACCGGCUAACUCCGUGCCAGCAGCCGCGGUAAUACGGAGGGUGCAAGCGUUAUCCGGAAUCAUUGGGCGUAAGGCGUCCGGAGGUGGUUUGUUAAAUCGGGUGUUAAAUUUCGGAGCCCAACUCCGAAAUUGUGCCUGAAACUGGCAGACUAGAAUACUACAGAGGUACGUGGAAUUUUGUGUGUAGGGGUAAAAUCCGUAGAUACACAGAAGAACACCAAAAGCGAAAGCAACGUACUGGGUAGGUAUUGACACUCAUUGGACGGAAGCGUGGGGAGCAAACAGG
rnacentral:rRNA from 1 species